UACCUGCAAAUAUAUUUCAGAUAUAAGCAACUAAAUCCACAGAUCGAUAAGCUUGAUAUAGUGAGACCAUUCGUAGACUACACUGCAAAAUUUUGAAUGGCGCAAGGCGCAACGUUGUACUCUGUGUUGGAAGGCCUUGGUAUAACAACUUCAGGUGGCAGUGACUUUAGUUUUGAAGGAAGAGGACCAUUUGUCAACCACUCAUGAUAACCUUAGAAAAACUUUUACCUUUUUUUUUUUUAACUGAAGUGGUGCCAAGUCUUUGAGGCAAUUGAGUGAUCAAUGACUCAGAGCAACAUGUUCCCCAUGGAGCACUUUUCGGGACCACUGAGAUAUGAAAUUUGUAAGCAUCCCUUUUGUUCCCUUUCGCACUGAAAAAUUUGCUGACAUGAUCUUUAUAGUUUAGAUUUUGUGUUUCUGACUAAAUAUCACAAGCUGCUGUUCUCUUGCCCAGAUUUCAGCUCAUGAUGAAAAUUUGGAACUUCAAUGGCAAGAGUUAUUGAAGGUAUUUAUGUUCUUUGACUAAAAUCCUUACAAACUCUGGUUCAUAGUAGGAUUUAUGUGAUUUCAGAAUUGGUGGCCUUGCGCAUUUUCUUAGUUUCUACUCGAAAUUUGUAUUUAUUUUGUACGCUUAAUUAUCUAGGUAGUAAUUACUCUAGAAUGUGAACUAACAAUAACAGUAAAAUCUUGAUAACUAUAGACAACUGCUAAGUGCUAACAUUCAAAGAUGAUCAAGUGGAAGAAGAUUUGUUUCUUACCCAAAUGCUCCAAUUACUCGUGUCUCUUCAGCUGAUUGACCGUCUGCUUGCAGUCUCGCCAGACCAAAAUCUCCAACCUACAUACUACAGUUGUCAGAUUUUUGUUUUAAAGAAUAAGCGUUGAGAGGCUAAGAAGAAGUAAUAACUUCAGAAUUGAACUAACC
rnacentral:lncRNA from 1 species